rnacentral:lncRNA from 1 species
CUUCUCCACUAAGAGUGUGCUUGUUACAUGAAAGCUGAAUUUGAGCAAAGCAGCUCGGGAGAAAGAAAGUGUUCUAUCAGAGAGACUUAGGGGUUAGUGUUGCCAAGGAAAGAGGGGACCUCAAUUGAGAAAAUGCUUCCAAGGAGAUACAGUUUUAAGGAAUUUUCUUAAUUAGUGAUUGCUAGGGAAGGGCUCAGCCCAUUGUGGUUGGUACCAUCGCUGGGCUGGUGGUUCUGAGUUCUAUAAGAAAGAAGUGUACCAAGCCAGGAGGAGCAAGCCAGUAAGCAGCAUCCCUCCAUGGCCUCUGUAUCAACCCCGCUGGAGUUCCUGUCCUGGCUUCCUUCAAUGACUGCCUGACCAUAGCUGAGCUGAUAUCUGAUCGUUAUAUUCUGCUCAGGAGAGGGCAUCAGAUACUACAACCUGGCCAUUAGUCCCGUGCCCCCCCCCCCCCGUCCCCCCAUGCCUGCUUUCUCUCCCUGGACCCCACUUUUCUGUCUCCUCCUCUGCACAGCAUCUCAAUGAAUUAGCCUGAGAGCUGUACCCA